rnacentral:tRNA from 1 species
AAGUCACCCCCAACCCUAAGCUUCUAACUUAGGAACAAAUGAUAGUCCAUUUGUGAUUUU